rfam:Morus notabilis contig21394, whole genome shotgun sequence.
UAGCAUGUGACGAAGUUCUCGGAUUCCCCUUCAAGACAUUAUGGGUGAUGCUAAACCGAGAUUCUGAUGCU